UUGGACGUUAAUAUUUAAAAUCAUAUCUAAUUAUUAAUUAGGCCUUUUCAUAAGUAAUGAGCCCAAUAGCGACAAUAUGAUGGGCUGGGCUAGACUAGCAGUGACCAUGGCGAUUAUUGGAAGAAGAGCAGAAGAAGGAGAAAAAGGAUUCAAUUGUAUUGUAGUAGUUGUUGAAGUUUGAUUGAAGAAGAAGAAGAAUGGCGUUGAAAUUCUUGAACAAGAAGGGAUGGCACACGGGUUCUCUUCGGAACAUAGAGAACGUGUGGAAAGCCGAGCAAAAGCGCGCCGCAGAAGGUAAAGAAAUUGGAAGAACUCCGCAAACAGAUCCAGGAGGAAAGGGAGCGCCACGAGUUUCGUCUCCUUCAAGAGCAAGCCGGUCUCGUUCCUAAGCAGGAGAGAUUGGAUUUUCUGUACGAUUCGGGAUUGGCUGUAGGAAAGGGCAGCUUCAUCAUCGGCACCGGCAUCAGCUUCGCCUGGAGCUUUGUUCGAAGACAAGCCUCAGUCUGCGAAUGACGCGUGGAAGAAACUUCAUUCGGAUCCUUUGCUUAUGAUUUUGCAUUAAAUGUAACAAAUUUUGCCUUGGUUUGAUUAGUAUUAAAUAAUUUCAUUUAAUAAAUAUUUACAUAAUAAAAAUUCUUACAUAUAUUUUUUGCCAUAGGCUCUAAAUCAUAUUGGGCCACCUCUAAUUAGAAUCUUGACUCUCAAACUUCAUGCUUUGAUCAAAUAUUGAGAGUGGAAAAUUGUAAA